GACGAACGCUGGCGGCGUGCCUAAUACAUGCAAGUAGAACGCACUUGCGAACGAGUGAGUAACGCGUAGGUAACUGCCUCAUAGCGUGGGAUAACUAUUGGAAACCAUAUCUAAUACCGCAUACUGUGAGAUGAACCUCCGGUGUAUUAGCUAGUUGGUGAGGUAAAGGCUCACCAAGGCGACGAUACAUAGCCGGCCUGAGAGGGUGAAUGGCCAAAAUGGGAAUGAGACAGGGCCCGAACCCUUACGGGAGGAGCAGUAGGGAAAGAUCGGAAAAUGGCCGAAGUCUGACCGAGCAAAGGCGGGGGAGUGGAGAAGGUUUUCGGGUCGUAAAAGUAUGUUAAUAGAGAAGCGGUACCUAAAGAGAAAGGGACGGCUAACUACGUGCCAGCAGCCGCGGUAAUUC
rnacentral:rRNA from 1 species